UAAAUACUCCUUCCGUCCGGAAAUACUUGUCAUCAAAAUGGAUAAAAGGAGAUGUAUCUAGACGUAUUUUAGUUCUAGAUACAUCCCUUUUCAUCCAUUUUGAUGACAAGUAUUUUCGGCCGGAGGGAGUAUCUU
rfam:Triticum aestivum genome assembly, contig: Triticum_aestivum_CS42_TGACv1_scaffold_393506_5AS